rnacentral:rRNA from 1 species
CGCCGCGUGAAGGAUGAAGCUUUUCGGAGUGUAAACUUCUUUUAUGUGGGAAGAUUAUGACGGUACCACAUGAAUAAGGACCGGCUAACUACGUGC